rnacentral:tRNA from 1 species
GGCAUGUCGAUCGUUUGCUGGGUGGAGCGGCCGAUGCGGGCGGUUGAUUUCGCUAAGCCAUUGAAAAUAAAACAUUGACCGCGGCCUGCAAAGCCGUUUAGGCCGGUUCGACUCCGGCUCGCGCCUCCA